AAGUCGUAACAAGGUUUCCGUAGGUGAACCUGCGGAAGGAUCAUUAACACUUUUAUCCAAUAAAAAACUAAACGUGAACUUUUCCCCUCCCUAUAUCAUUUUAUAUGAUAUAGGCUAACCAUUUUAUUUAUUUAAAACCACUUUAACUUUUUUAUAAGUCUUUGUUUGUAACGCCUAACGGCCUACAAAACAAAAAGACUGACUAACUAAAAAUUUUACUUAAGAUGUCAAACAUUAAAUGUUGAUCUCUUAAUUAAUAUUUUUUCUUUACGAAAUAAAUAUUAGUAUAUAAGAACAACUCUUAGCAAUGGAUAUCUUGGUUCUC
rnacentral:misc_RNA from 1 species